rnacentral:lncRNA from 1 species
AGUUGCCUCGGCCUUUGGCCUUGUCAGGUUACACUGAGAAGACAGCUAUCUAUGAAUCAGGAAGCAGAGCUUCACCAGGCACUGAAUCUAUUGGCAUAUUGAUCUUGAACUUCCCAGCCUCCAGAACUGAGAAAUAACUCUCUGUUAUUUACAUACCACUAUUCUAUGGUGUUUUGUUAUAGUAGCCCGAAUAGACUAAGAUAAGUAGAUAAUAGCAGAUAGCAGAUAUGGUUUAGAUGGUGUCUUAAGACUUUGAGGUAGAUUUCAGGUUCUUAAAUUGGGGAACCCAAUCAGUGAUAAGUGGUUUGAAUUCUAUUAAUGUGAAAUAUAGUAAUAAAGCCUCAUUAACAACAGGGAUUUGGCGAAGUGGAAGAGAAGGCUUAAAGUUCUAUUUUCAGAUAAAAUGAGCACGAAGAAGAGAAAACAGAAAACAUCCAUUGAAUCCUCUGCCUCUGGUAAUGUAUGGCUCCCAGUAUGCCUCCUUCAAGAGCAUGACUGACCCAAUUACUAGUAUGAGCAAAAGGUAUCUAAAGUAAAUGGCCUUAUGUAUAAUCCUGAAUUAUAAAUGGCUGAAGAGGAACAGCCCCAGUCUGCAGCGCCCAGGGAGACCAACGCAGAAGGCAGAAAGUUUCAGAAAGGUGAUGAAAUUUAAGCUGGGCUUUAAAGGCUACAUCAAAUUUGACAAAUGGAAUUGUGAGGAAAGCACAUUAGAAGUAAAGAGUGAACCCACAAAAACAAGAGAACAUCAUGUUUCUAGAGGCUGCCUGCAUUCCUUGGCUAAUGACUUUGCAUCACUCUGACGUCUUGCUCCCAUGGUCGUAUCACCUACUACUGGCCCUGAUCUCACUACUUGUUAUAUGGAACAAAGGGAUAAGGAAGUGACUUGCCUAAGUCACUGAGGAACCUAAUAUUGAGAUUAGCACUCAAUGAUUCCUGGCUCUCAGAAUGUGUGCUGCUACCACCAGGCCACACUCUUCCCUCCAGAGAGAAGAUGUGUCAGCACGGAAUUGUGCUGAAGCAAAGAUGUGAAAUAGAAUGAUUACAUAUCUACCUAGUGGGAAGAUCUGGGGAAGAAUCUAUCAGUGCUGGCAGAGAAGCAAACCAUACGACAUCACUCAUCCCCAGAAAGUGAAGUUAAGGGAAAUAAAAAACAAUCUACACCAUUUAGAAAACACAGCCACCCCAUACCCUUGGAAAAAAUACACUAAAAUAUCUUCAUCUGAUUUGACCUCUAAUAACAUGAAUAAUUGUCUUAUAACUCACUUUCUUACCUCUUGAUUAUUCUACAGAUCCGGCACAUAUGAGCAAAAUCUGAUGAAAUUCACUCAUUUAAUUUGAAGAUUUUAAUUAUGUAGAAAAA